UAAAAAUUUAAAAAAAUUUGUCGUUAUUUUAUCUACAUAGUUAAUGUUUUACAUUUAUUGUCAAUAAAUAAAUUAAUAAAAACAUAUCACAUGCUCUUUCCCGAUUUAUUCUAAGAACACAUGGCAACACUGUUAGGCCUUCAUUUCCUUGUAUCUGUAGCUAACUUCUCGGACCCCGCAAUUUAAUGAAGUCCGAAUAUCCUAUUUGGUUUUGUUUUUUUUUGUUAAUUGUGUAGCGAAAUUUGUGAAAUUGUGAUAGCAAAUUAAAUAUGAAGUGGUUUAAACAUUGGAUACGCCUAUGGAUGACAGUUUCGCCAUCCAGCAGCCAUAUUAUAUCACGUGAUUUGGAAUGCCUAAUUGUCAUUGGGUGCAUUCAGCAGACGCAAUCGCUAACUAAUCGAUUAGUAAUCGAUUUGUGAUUUACAUGCUGAAUGUCACAAUUUAUGUGGCAUUCAGCAGAAAAUCACUAAUCGAUUAGUUAGCGAUUGUGUCUGCUGAAUGCACCCAUUGUCUGAUGAUCUUAUGUUUGAUUAUGUUGUUGUUGUUCGUUGUUGACAUUCUAACUUUUGAUAGGAUAAUAAGGAUAUUUUAAACACAUUUUAAAAGAAAAAGAACCUUAGUAGUCAGUAGAAAGGAAAGUAAUUUUAUAUUCCAACCGUAUUAUUACUUCUGAAAUAUUAUCAUCUUGUGGGAAAACCGCAGUGAUUGUGCCUUCAAACGGGCAAUUUGAAAGGACAACCCCAACAAAAACCAUUAUAUGUAAUUGUAAAUUGAAAUGAUUGAUAAUAAAAAUGUUUGUACAUAUGUAAUUGUACAUGUAAAGCUGGAAAUUCAGGCAUACCAUUGAAAAUUUGAAAAAAUUAAGCACCACAGACAUCAAACAACAGUGGGGAUAAUUAACAAAACAAUAAUACAACAUAGUCAACAAUAAAGUCCUACCAGUCUGCUGAUAAAUGGGCUAGUGAUAUUGUACUAAAUUAUGAUUUAGCUCUAUUUUACUCAAAUAAUGUUGAAGUAAGCUACAGUAACUCUGUUGAAAUGUCUUUAGCUAUGCUAAACCAAACUGUAGAAGCAUGGAAAAAGCUGACGUGACUGCAAGUAACUGGGACAAUUUAUUGCCAUUUAUUUACUUAUGAUAAAAAUAAAAGCCCAAGUUGGCCACUUAAAGUCGACCAAUUGUAUAGUUCCAAUUUUAAAGAAAAUACUGUACCCUUCCGUGGGAAACAAUUAUGAAUCAGUUGCUUUAAAUAUGUAUGAAAAAAUAACUCGACUGGCAGUGUCAAUGGAAUUGUUUCCGGAAAAUGUCUAGAAAUAAACUGUCCUCUGGCAGGUAAAACAAAGUCUGUGCAAUCAAUUUUACGUGACCUUAAAUAUUUAUGCAUAAUUGAGGGAAAACAAUAUUAUGUUAAAGAAAAAUCAUAUGUAUUUAUUGACAAGUGCAAUUGCUACUUACAGGACUACAAAUAUGUUAUUUUGUAGUGUUUUGUCCAUUUGAUAAGUCCACACUUCUUAUUAAAGUACCAUUUAAUGAUGAAUUUAUACAAGAAAUGUUAAAAAUUUUGGUAGAGGUAUAUUUUUACAAUGUAUUAUCAGUUUUAUUCCAAUUAUAUAAGUAAAAAACUUGUUUUAAAA